rnacentral:rRNA from 1 species
AUUGAACGCUGGCGGAAUGCUUUACACAUGCAAGUCGAACGGCAGCACGGACUUCGGUCUGGUGGCGAGUGGCGAACGGGUGAGUAACAUAUCGGAACGUAUCCAAUAAUGGGGGAUAACGAGUCGAAAGAUUCGCUAAUACCGCAUACGACCUACGGGGGAAAGCUGGGGACCUUCGGGCCUGGCGUUAAUGGAGCGGCCGAUAUCUGAUUAGCUAGUUGGUGAGGUAAAGGCUCACCAAGGCGACGAUCAGUAGCUGGUCUGAGGGGACGACCAGCCACACUGGAACUGAGACACGGUCCAGACUCCUACGGGAGGCAGCAGUGGGGAAUUUUGGACAAUGGGCGCAAGCCUGAUCCAGCCAUUCCGCGUGAGUGAAGAAGGCCUUCGGGUUGUAAAGCUCUUUCGCAAGGGAAGAAAACUUAGCCACUAACAUUGGUUGAGGUUGACGGUACCUUGAUAAGAAGCACCGGCUAACUACGUGCCAGCCGCCGCCGUAA